GGGAUUACCUUAGUAACGGCGAGUGAAGCGGUAAAAGCUCAAAUUUGAAAUCUAGUACCUUCGGUGCUCGAGUUGUAAUUUGUAGAGGGAUACUUUGGGGCCGUUCCUUGUCUAUGUUCCUUGGAACAGGACGUCAUAGAGGGUGAGAAUCCCGUGUGGCGAGGAGUGCGGUUCUAUGUAAAGUGCUCUCGAAGAGUCGAGUUGUUUGGGAAUGCAGCUCUAAGUGGGUGGUAAAUUCCAUCUAAAGCUAAAUAUUGGCGAGAGACCGAUAGCGAACAAGUACAGUGAUGGAAAGAUGAAAAGAACUUUGAAAAGAGAGUGAAAAAGUACGUGAAAUUGUUGAAAGGGAAGGGCAUUUGAUCAGACAUGGUGUUUUGUGCCCUCUGCUCCUUGUGGGUGGGGGAAUCUCGCAGCUCACUGGGCCAACAUCAGUUUUGGCGGCAGGAUAAAUCUAUAGGAACGUAGCUUACCUCGGUAAGUGUUAUAGCCUGUGGGAAUACUGCCAGCCGGGACUGAGGACUGCGACUUUGUCAAGGAUGUUGGCAUAAUGGUUAAAUGCCGCCCGU
rnacentral:rRNA from 1 species